CACGUAGGGGGCGAGCGUUGUCCGGAUUUAUUGGGCGUAAAGAGCUCGUAGGCGGCUCAGUAAGUCAGGUGUGAAAACUCCAGGCUCAACCUGGAGACGCCACCUGAUACUGCUGUGGCUAGAGUCCGGUAGGGGAGCAUGGAAUUCCUGGUGUAGCGGUGAAAUGCGCAGAUAUCAGGAGGAACACCGAUGGCGAAGGCAGUUCUCUGGGCCGUAACUGACGCUGAGGAGCGAAAGCGUGGGGAGCAAACAGG
rnacentral:rRNA from 1 species